ensembl:snRNA U12 U12 minor spliceosomal RNA
AUGCCUUAAACUGAUGAGUAAGGAAAAUAACGACGCGGGGUGACGCCCGUGUCCUCGCUCACAUUCGCGAGAGAAAUUUUUGACCGGGUAUAGGUCCGCUCGCUGAGGUGACUCGCCUACUUUGCGAGAUGCCUUGCGAACCUGGGAUCUACCCG